AUCAUUUUGCUGUGUGAUACGACCAGGGAAGCACGUCUGAAGUUAUUCUACUGAAAGUCUGUAUCUUUUGCCUGUUUUCAAGAAUCAGUGGAACCAUAUCGAAAAUUUCAACCUAUCUACAGAGAUGGGUCGUCUACAGGAUAAAGAAAAAAAUAUGCCGAUCAUGAAAAUGGGUCCGCUAAAAAUCUUCUAAGUCAUCGAUUAAAUUUGGGAAUGGCAAGAAGAAGCAUACCAAUCAUCAGUGACUAUAGACGAUAGAGGUCAGGAAGAAAGAGAAGAAGCAAUGAUGAAAGCAGUAGGCCCAUUCUUGGCAACAACAUGACUUCUUCAGGGGAAGUUUAAUGAUAUCUUUGUGUCAUCAGAACUGAGUCACAGAAUGCUGUACACAUCCAGACGGACACGGAACUCAAUCCUCACAAUCACAACAUCACUCGACCUUCUGUCAGAGGCCACGAUGUCAAUCUCUUCGUUUUAUAUCUACUAUUUUCAAUAUCCCACUUGCCUAAGUAAGACGCUCAUAUUUAAAUAUUCAAAAGAUCUUACUAGAUAUUCAGGAUGAAGAUAACAUUCCAUGCCCCAUAUUUACAUUAACAAAAAAUCAAACAUGCAGUGAGUUAAGAUAAUUAAGACUCUAUAUCUAUCUGUGUCAAUUAUUUAUUGCUGAAAUCUAGGAAUCAACACUCGAGUGUCCUAAUAAUUUUGGUUAUGGUUUGUUCCAUAACAAUGUCAGAUUUGUCUUAAAUCUGUAUAUUAUAAAAUGUUUUCUCAAUUUCAAAUCUAAAUAGUAUUUUCUUUAAUAAUCAGACGCCAUGUAUGUUAUGAUUCUGAGUAUUGACUAAGUUUGAAUAGGUUUCUUUUGUAAAAAAAAAAUAUUGUGUAAUCAAUAAAUGCAAAUGUUUGUGUUAUGACAUUGCAGAGCAAAAUAUUAGUUCUUUUAUAAUGCAUUAUGAUUUAUUUGGACAGCAACAGUAUGCACAUACCAAAUUCUCUAAUUUGUAUUAUCUACAUUUUAUCACCUUGUUCACAAAGGAAUUUAUCUGACUAUCAAUUUGUAUUAUGGAUUUUUUUUUCAUAAUUCUGUCACUCGAGUACAAACACAAAUUUGUCCUUCUACCUUGAAUUUGUAUCCAAAUUAUUGUUUUGAUAUUUUCAUGAGGAGCAUAAUAACAUAUACUGAUACUGCAAUGUACAACAUUCUUCAUGUUUACAGAAAUACAUCGAAGAAAAGUAAACAAAUAAACAGCAAAAAAUAAUUAAGUUUUCACAUGUAUAUUUUCAUAUUUGAAGUCCUUCAAUUGAAUAUCAACUAUUGAGUACAUUCACCUACUGCCAUAUUUUUAUUAAACAAAAUAUAUAUAUUCCCUGUAUCGAGAAUGAAAUCUAAUUAAUGAUUAUAAUUACAACUUUGAAACUUUAAUUUGAUUUUUUUAUUCGAAUUCAUUUUUAUUUAAUUUUUUCUGCCAUGAUUUU